rnacentral:ncRNA from 2 species
UGUUUAUCAAGAGUGUGGGGAGAGGUUUGACUCUUUGAUCCACCGGCAUCCUGAACAAAAUUUUGUUUAAGGUGCUUCAGUCAAAAUCGAUAAAUA